CCACGCUUCCCGGAAGAGAUGCCAAGCGGGGCUGGCUGCCAGGGCGUUGGCGUUCCUUAGGAGUGUGAGUGUGGCGUCAGCCGUUUUUUCCCGGCUGGGUCCCGGGUUACCCCGCCAGCACAGCCUCACCCCACUGGCGUCCACAGCACGAGCUCCAGCGGCUUUGCGCGGUGCUUGCUCUCUAGAAGCGGCUGACUAGGUCAGUCAGGAUCUUUGAUUUCGGAGCACAAGGCUUCUGUGGGCUACUGGCUGGGUCCCAGCCUCCCUCCACGGCUCUGUCGUGGAUGGGAAUUUCCACCACUGCCUCCAUUAGUCAGAAGACUGAACAUUUUGUAACUGCUUAUAGAAAGUCCAUCAUCUUUAUGCAUCACUUCCUGAAAGAUCCACUGAAGAGCAGCUUUCAUGAACAUUGCCGGGGCCUUGUGCUCCUUUAAAACGCACUGUUUUCCUCACUGCGAGGUGGGUCUCUCACACCGCGGGGGACUGACUGUCUGUGAUCUCGGAGCACUUCUUCCCUGGGCCUUCCCUGGCACACUGACGGCAUAGGUCUGUAGGGCAGGCGUGGGAGUAAACAUGUUAAUCUCUUUUGAAUAAACUGAUUUUGAAGUAGAUGUCUCAAAAA